rnacentral:rRNA from 1 species
GAUGAACGCUGGCGGCGUGCCUAAUACAUGCAAGUCGAGCGAACAGACGAGGAGCUUGCUCCUCUGACGUUAGCGGCGGACGGGUGAGUAACACGUGGAUAACCUACCUAUAAGACUGGGAUAACUUCGGGAAACCGGAGCUAAUACCGGAUAAUAUAUUGAACCGCAUGGUUCAAUAGUGAAAGACGGUUUUGCUGUCACUUAUAGAUGGAUCCGCGCCGCAUUAGCUAGUUGGUAAGGUAACGGCUUACCAAGGCAACGAUGCGUAGCCGACCUGAGAGGGGGAUCGGCCACACUGGAACUGAGACACGGUCCAGACUCCUACGGGAGGCAGCAGUAGGGAAUCUUCCGCAAUGGGCGAAAGCCUGACGGAGCAACGCCGCGUGAGCGAUGAAGGUCUUCGGAUCGUAAAACUCUGUUAUUGGGGAAGAACAAAUGUGUAAGUAACUAUGCACGUCUUGACGGUACCUGAUCAGAAAGCCACGGCUAACUACGUG